rnacentral:rRNA from 1 species
AGAGUUUGAUCAUGGCUCAGGAUGAACGCUAGCUACAGGCUUAACACAUGCAAGUCGAGGGGAAACGACAUCGAAAGCCUGCUUUUGAUGGGCGUCGACCGGCGCACGGGUGAGUAACGCGUAUCCAACCUGCCCACCACUUGGGGAUAACCUUGCGAAAGUAAGACUAAUACCCAAUGACGUCUCUAGAAGACAUCUGAAAGAGAUUAAAGAUUUAUCGGUGAUGGAUGGGGAUGCGUCUGAUUAGCUUGUUGGCGGGGUAACGGCCACCAGGGCUACGAUCAGUAGGGGUUCUGAGAGGAAGGUCCCCCANAUUGGAACUGAGACACGGUCCAAACUCCUACGGGAGCA